UGAUAAAGCCAUGAUUUAUUUCCAAUGUUUUUACAAAUCUGUUUUCAUGUCUGUACAAAGUGCGGACAAACAUCCAUACUUGGUUGACAUCACAUUGAGACAUCAAAUUAGAAAUGGGGGUGUGGGGGCGUGGAAGUGGUGCUCCUAUAAAUAUGAAAGUAAAUAAUCAUAACAUUGUGGCUGCAGACCAGUAACCACCACUGUAACCUUGCUAUCACCAUCCAAUAGUGUAAGCCUACUGGUUCGAGCAGAAACAUUUGACUAGAAACAAAGACAAUAAGUAGAACUUGGAGGCGAGGCCUGCAGGCAAUAGCCUCAUUCAAUCCAGUGUACCGCCACAUCUCUCUAAUACAUACAUCCCAGAACAUAAAGAAGACAGACACAUUGAACGCCAAGAGAUGCAAUUCUCUUUUCUCAUGGUUAAAUGCAUUGACCUAAAUAAGACCAUUCCAUCACGUUAUAACAUCAACCAGUACAGCAGAAAGCGGUCCAUUGGACCUAACACUUUUCUAUGGUAUUUCAGAAUCUGACAAUUACAUAUAUAAAUCACAACAAAAUGACCAGUGGCUACAAUUCAAAAAGUGGAAUCAUCUUCAAAGUCGUACAAACACGUUUCACCAUUAGUUGAUCAUGUAUAUGAAAGUAAUUCCUAGUCCAGCACUGAUACUAGUUGACAGCCCUGCAGACACUGUGUAUCAACACUAUUGGACUAUCCAAUGGUAUGUCUGGUAACGAGAAGAGAAUGGUGUAAGUCCAAACAAGUGAUGGGCGAGCAACAAAUGAAAAGGGGGGGGGGGGGGG